rnacentral:rRNA from 1 species
GAUGAACGCAGGCGGCGUGCCUAGUACAUGCAAGUCGAGCGAACGGACUAGAAGCUUUCUUCUCUGAUAUUAGCGGCGGACGGGCGAGUAACACGUGGAUAACCUACCUAUAAGACUGGGAUAACUUCGGGAAACCGGAGCUAAUACCGGCUGAUAUUUUGAACCGCAUGGUUCACAAGUGAAAGACAGUCUUGCGGUCACUUAUAGAUCGACCCGCGCUGCAUUAGCUAGUUGGUAAGCUAACGGCUUACCAAGGCAACGAUGCAUAGCCGACAUCAGAGGGUGAUCGGCCACACGGGAACUGAGACACGGCCCAGACUCCUACGGGGGGAAGCAGUAGGGACUCUUCCGCAAGGGGGGAAAGCCUGACUGAGCAACGCCGCGUGAGUGAUGACGGUCUUCGGACCGUAGAACGACGUAAUUAGUGAAGAACAUAUGUGUAAGUAACUGGGACCAUCUUGACGGUACUUAAUCAGAAAGCCACGGCUAACUACGUG